ACCUACGGGGGGCAGCAGUAAGGAAUCUUGCGCAAUGGGCGAAAGCCUGACGCAGCGACGCCGCGUGGGGGAUGAAGGCCCUCGGGUUGUAAACCCCUUUCGGCAGGGACGAAGCGGUUUCGUGACGGUACCUGCAGAAGAAGCCUCGGCUAACUACGUGCCAGCAGCCGCGGUAAGACGUAGGAGGCGAGCGUUGUCCGGAUUCAUUGGGCGUAAAGAGCACGCAGGCGGUUUGGCAAGUCGGAUGUGAAAACCCGGAGCUCAACUCCGGGCCUGCAUCCGAAACUGCCCGACUAGAGGUAGGUAGGGGAGAUCGGAAUUCCUGGUGUAGCGGUGAAAUGCGCAGAUAUCAGGAGGAACACCGGUGGCGAAGGCGGAUCUCUGGGCCUUACCUGACGCUCAGGUGCGAAAGCUAGGGGAGCGAACAGGAUUAGAUACCCUGGUAGA
rnacentral:rRNA from 1 species